rnacentral:rRNA from 1 species
CCUACGGGAGGCAGCAGUGGGGAAUAUUGCACAAUGGGGGAAACCCUGAUGCAGCAACGCCGCGUGAGUGAUGACGGCUUUCGGGUUGUAAACUUCUUUUGUCAGGGAAGAGUAGAAGACGGUACCUGACGAAUAAGCCACGGCUAACUACGUGCCAGCAGCCGCGGUAAAACGUAGGUGGCAAGCGUUGUCCGGAUUUACUGGGUGUAAAGGGCGUGUAGCCGGGUUGACAAGUCAGAUGUGAAAUCCUGCGGCUUAACCGCAGAACUGCAUUUGAAACUGUUGAUCUUGAGUACUGGAGAGGCAGACGGAAUUCCUAGGGUAGCGGUGAAAUGCGUAGAUAUUAGGAGGAACACCAGUGGCGAAGGCGGUCUGCUGGACAGCAACUGACGGUGAGGCGCGAAAGCGUGGGGAGCAAACAGGAUUAGAUACCCUUGUAGUC